UUGCAACUCCUCCUGGCUAGUCUACUUUCACCUCCCGCUGCCCAUCCUCUCUCUCCCACUAUAUCGCGAGAGAUAGGGAGCACAGAAAUAUUCAUGUGUUAGCCACAACUGUUAUAAAACGACAAUUAUAUCGCGGACAUAUGAACGAAUUGUAAUGUAAGCCAACGCAAUAUUGAUAAAUUAGUUAUUUUAUUAAUAGCUGGCUAGCUAAUAAUAAUAGCUAGCCACAUAUUGACGGUACCUAUAGCGAUUCGCCUGUCGGCUGUAGUAGCACAUCUGGGAGGCACAAGUUACGAUUUAACUAGCUAACUAAAGUCACUAUUUUGAAGACACGCGUGUACAAGCUGCAGUUGUGUUCUUGUGGAUGUGUGGUGGACCGUAAGCAGGACGGCCACUUGUGAACCUCACCUAAUUUACCUUGCCCCUUUGUCCUAUACCUCCUCCCUGACUCCUCCCCUUUUCCUCCCAGUCUUUUAUCAUAGACCUUUUUAAAUGUAUGAAAGCAUGUUGCACAGAGACAGACACCCUAUAUUUCUACCUCUUCUCUGUCUGUGCUCAUCAGUCUGUUAUGGUAGUCUUUUAGCUGAAGGUUUUAAAUGGGGGUGAAUCUACUCUAUGCCUGGUGUAGUACGGUACUUGAAUUCCCACCCAUUUGUAUAUUAGCCCCGAUGAGCUGUGCAGAUUUCAUUAAUCAACCUUAAGUGAUAAACCAAUCAGCAGCCAGCUAAUUGGCCAAUCAGCCCCCCCUCCACUCCCUCCUGGUAGAAUGAACGGAUCUCUUUUAACCCCACCUAGCCUGCGGGCAGCCAACUCCUCUACCCUGCCCCCGUCACCCUCCCCGUCCCCUCCAUCCCCCUCCCUGUUGCCACUGUUCCCUCGGCCACCUUCCUUGGCCCAGCCUCACCCCUCCUCGCUCUCGGACACCCCCACGCCCUCCCCCUGCCUGAGCUGGACGGAGUUCUGUGAGCUGCAUGCCCGCAUGGCGGCCGGGGACUUUGCCCGCCACUUCCGGGCGUUCCUCCUGGAGAACCCGCACUACUCCCCCGACUCUGCUGCCGCCUUCUGUCGCCGCUUCACUGACCGCUUUGUCCGACAUUUCCAGAGCGAACUGGAGGGAGUGGCAGGGGCGCCGGGUACAGCCCCCGGGAUGGAGGCAGGGAGCUGGGCUCCCCAAUUAGACGCCACCUCCCUGGAAGAGGAGGCGGUCUCUCCCCCUCCCAUCACCGAGGGAUCCUGCUACCCCGCCUGUGCCCCAGCCAACCCGGUGCGAGCCCUGCCCAAGCCUGCCUCCACACGGCUGGUGUUGGAAACCCGAAGUGGGGACCAAUUUCAAGAUUCCUAUGCUGUCACAACGGUCCUCCCCCCAUCUUCAUCCUCCUCCUGCUCCUCCUCAGUGGGAGGAGGAAACAAUGGCGGGCGGGAAGAGAGGGGUGCCCCAGUUACUGUUAAACACUUCCCUGGCGUCGGCCCGGGCAAUGGAGAAACAACGGCCGAGGAAGAGGAGGAUAGCUGGGCGGGCGUAACGGUCAUGGAGGAGGAGGUGGAGCUAGAUGAGGGUGAGGCGGAUCUGGAAGUUUGCUUGGACAAUGAAGACCCCUCCCACAUGCCCCAAGCGCCUGCCUCCCCUUGCUCUGACACACCCCCUCCCCGCUCCAAGGGUAACGGCACACCGGCCUCGACAGGAAGCCAGUCCAAAACCAAACUGAAGAAGCGCUUCUCUCUGCGGAGUGUUGGGCGCAGCGUGCGGGGUAGUGUCCGGGGCAUCCUGCACUGGCGCAGCUCGUCCAGCGACUCCCCACAGAGCUCCUCCCAGCUGCCCUCCAGCUACAGCUACACAAUGGGGGUCCAAGACGCUGCCACCGGCUCUUCCUCCAAGAGGAACUCUGGUACUCAGCCCCCUACGCCCACCUCCUCCAUGCCUGUCUCUCUCUCCCUUCCCCUCUCCCUCCCCCACUCCUCCUCCCUGCCCCCGUCUUCCUCCAGCAGUGCCACCUCCCUCUCGUUGUCGGAAGCGCGGGACCGCCGGCGGAGCAAUGGCGAGGGGGGAGAGAAGGAGAAGUGGAGCCACCGGCUGGAGAAGUUGCGUCUGUCUCGCUCCCCACCCCCCGUUCUCUCCUCAGCGCCCACUUCGGCCGUGGUGUCGCCUUCCUCCGGCCUGCCCCCCAGCAGCAGCAGCAGCGCCACCCUGAGGACGGGCCGGCUGGUGAGGGAGGGAGGAGUCAGCGUCAGCUCCUCCAUGCCAGAUGAGUUUGCCGGGAGCCACGGUGGUUUCCCUGGCUUUUCCUUUGUCCUGCUGCACCACGGCACACAAGAACACAACAACGCUGGCACCGGCUUAAACAACACCUCGUCCACCGCUAAUGCUGCUCAAACAGCCGCAGUGCAGCCUCUCGUCCCCGGGGGCACUGUGGGCUGGAGGGGCGGUCGUUGGCACAAGUGCCGACUGGUCCUGAGGGAGAGGGACAAGGAGGGGGAGCGGGGCGAGGAGUACUAUCUGGAGUUCUUCAUCCCGCCUAAAUCCUCCAAGCCCAGGUUGACUAUCCCAUGCUGCUCUAUUGUGGAUGUGAGGAGCACCACAGCCCUGGAGGUGCCUGACAAGGAGAACACCUUCCUCCUGCAGUUGGAGGGACAGGUGCAGUAUGUGAUUGAGACGCGAGAUGCUGUGCAGAUGAGAGCCUGGUUGAGUGACAUCAGGAACGGUAUAUGUAUCAGUGAACAGGAGGACAAAGAAGCUGUGUGUGGGGGACCCAUGGACAUUAGUGGAACGCCAGAAUUCAGUGACCGCCUCUCUCAAGUGUGUUAUGGAGGUGUGGGCGGCUCUUCCCCGCUGAUGGACCCACGCCCCCCAGAGUUACCGCCCCGCGCCCCUCUGGACGAAUCAGACGGACGUGGGGGCGGAGCCGGCCUGGGCACACCAUUUGCGGAGACGCCAGAUGCCACAGGCUCCUUCCUGUUCUCAGACGUGGUGGAGGCGGUGGAGCACCCUCUGAGCGAGUGCCAGUGGUUCCACGGGACGUUGUCGCGCCUCAAGGCGGCCCAGCUGGUGCUGGCGGGGGGUAUGGCCAGCCACGGCGUCUUCCUUGUGCGCCAGAGCGAGACGCGCCGCGGGGAGUACGUCCUAACCUUCAACUUCCAGGGCAAGGCCAAGCACCUGCGUCUGUCUCUGAACGAGGACGGCCAGUGCCGGGUGCAGCACCUGUGGUUCCAGUCCAUAUUCGACAUGCUGGAGCACUUCCGGGUUCACCCAAUCCCCCUGGAGUCUGGGGGUGCCUCAGAUGUCACCCUCAUCAGCUUUGUGGGAGCCACCGCCGUCCGGCAGCCAGGCCGGGACAGGGCAAGCAGCCGGCCCACAGUCUGUGAUGUCAUCCCCACGCGCCACCUUGACUCUCCAUCAACCCCCAUCUCUGACUGUGUACUUGACCAGCAAACCCCGUAGCCCUCCCCAGCCUCCUCCUCCACCACCCCUUCCCCCCGGCCGGCCGCCACCCCCAACCCCACCCCAGGAACGAGGGAACGAGACAGAGCUGGGAGGUGGAGGAGGAACUACAGGAGGUGCAGGAGAAGGAGUGGAGGACUGGGAGGAGAGAGAAGCUCCUCUCCGCCAACUGGAGGGGGUGGAGGGUGAAGAGCGGGAAGGAGGGAGGGCAAGAGCCAUUGACAACCAGUACUCCUUCUUCUGAGGAGGCAGGGGGGGGGGGGUGUUUGUGCGAAAGGGAGAGUGGAGGAGGUGGGAGUCAUAGCCAUUCAUAACCAGUAUUUGUAUUUUAUUACGGGACUGUGGGGGGAGGGGGUUAGAAGGACGUACUAACACUAUUAAAACACAAGCAUUCUGGGAGAUUCAGCCAGAUGGAGAGAAAGAGAAAACGGGUGAAAGAGAAGAGAGAGGGAUGGGAGCACCGUACAACACUAAGUAAAGGUACACUAAUGUUUAGCGAGAUAAGCUUUUUGCCGGUACACCUCUUGGUACGCUUUUUGUAGACUUUUGAAUCCAUUCAUGGAUGUAGGUAGUGAGAGAGAUAUCCUCUGAACCCAGCAGUACCAUACCUCAAUAUCCUGCAGACAUUCUACUGGCCAACAGUACACUCUCACAGAGGUGGAGAUGGAGGACAACCAUAUACUUACAAGGUGGCAAAGAGACUAGGCUAGAACCGGCAGGCAGGAUACAUAUACCUCAGUCACUUUUUCAACCUCUCUCUUUUUCUCUCCUCAUUUUCUGGUUUUCUUUAAUGGUAGAGAAGUGGCCAGAGGUAGAGAGAGAGCGAAUAUAUAUUCAGAUAAAAUACUUUAUUAUUGAUAAUAAUAAUGAUAAUGGAAAUAAUGAUGGUCGGAAUUAAUAGUAUUAAUUUUAUUUUGUUUUUAAAAUGCCUUUUAUUGUAUGUUGUUUACUCCAUGUAAAGCGUAACACUUGUUCCUGCCCCCAUCCGAUUAUUUCAGUUGAAAUUUGUUUGUGCCUUUUUUUAUAUUGCUAAGCCUCAUACUCAGUCUUUCCCUCACGCUCAUACAGUCCUCUCCUCCUGGACCUCAUCCUAAUUUAAUUUUAAUAUGCAGAAAUAGAAUAUAAGAAAAAUAUAAGGGGGAGGGAGGCAUUUUUCUACUCGUGCCUUUUUGUGUUAUCACCUCUGUCAUACUCCUUCAACCUGUGCCUGGGUUGUGUGGCCAUGUCUGUCUGUUUGCCAUUCAGUUCAGUGCCUCUAUCUUUCUUUCUCUUUGUGUCUCCCUCCUCCCUCUCUUUGUUUAUACCUUUACUUCUUGUUUGUCCUCUCCUCUACUCAGAGCCUUGUAAUCAUCUUUUACACAUCUUACCCCAUCCCCCUGUUCAUCCUUUUCAAAUGUUGAACUCUAUUUGUGCCUUUCUGUCUCUGUCUGUCUCUCGCUCUCUCUUUAGCUGGGGACCUUGUGUUGACAGUGGGCAGGGUUUUGUCCAACCUUUGUGGUUAGUUUCAGGUACUACAUUGAAUUUAAUGAUAUGAUAUAAUAUAAUUAUACUGAAACAUUAUGGCCUAGUGUGUUGUUGCUUUGGUUCACUGUUAUUGUUUCUUACUGAAUAAAGGGGAAGGAUGUAAAGGAAUGUUACAGUAAUUCUUGCAGCUUUGGGUUGUCGCUAGUUGCCACAAAGUCAAAUGAAUGUCAUAAAAAUUCAUCAAAACAAAAAUUCACGUUUUGGUCAUAAUUUAUGGUUAGGCAUAAGGUUAGCGUUGUGGUUAAGGUUAAAAUCAGAUUUUAACAUUUUAGAAAUAGGCGGGGUUUGGCUUGAAAUUAGUGACGACCGCGGUUUUGGGGUCUAAAGUGUUUAGCGCGUGCACGUUAAAUUGUGAAUGCGCACAUGCACACUCGUACACGCCCCCAUCAACCCAGUCAGUCAGCCACGCGCAGACGACAACAUCUUUGUGGUGCCAAACCGGCGAAUUUGUUUUCCCCGAGUUUUACAAUUUGUUCAAGUUACAAAUGACAUGCAAUCGGAGUAAGCCACAAGCAAGAGUAAAUCCACGGAAAGGAAACGAAAGACGACGUCCUAAAAGUUUUAGCUACAGAAGGGACAUUACUGCUUGCUCGUCUAGCUAGCCAUCGAGCUAGCUAUAACGUGCAAGGCUGUACCACAGUAGCCAGCUUAACUAUCGAUUAAGUUCCGAAGAGGCAAUGUCCUUUCGUCGACAGAACGUGUAAUUAUUGGCACGUGUCACACCAGCAACAACCCGGUUCAGGCGGACGAAAAACCUCCAAUGGAACGGCAGGGCCUGCCGCUUUGCCCCCUCAUAUCAGCGGGAACAAUGCCAACAGAGCUGUGCCUGGAAGG